rnacentral:sRNA from 1 species
GCUGGGUGCAAUGGUGUACACCUGUAAUCCCAGCAGCUGGGAGGCUGAGGCAGGAAGAUCAUAAGUUCAAAGUCAGCCUCAGU